UAUAAUUCAAUCGUGUAAUUCAAUUGCGUAAUUCAAUUUCGUGAAUAUUCGCAAUUGUCGAGCGUUUUCCACGAAGACAUUAAUGAGUUUAAGCAUUUUUCGUCGAAUUUAAGUUUGUGAGAAGUGAUAUUUUAUAUAUUGUUAAGGCUAUGUAGUCAUCAGAUUCGCCAGAAUGAUUCGUUUUGAAUUUGAUUAACCUUCAAACGGCUCAUGUAUGCAGAUUACUCGGAGAUACGUGUUCCGUUACGUGGAAUCUUGCUGCGAUUGAGUAUCGAGACAAGAGGAAGAAGGAGAGAGGGUUGGUCAUUGAUCGCGUGAUCAUGUUACCGAAAAUUGAAUGGCGAUGAAGCGUGACAGCAUUCGCGUGGGAUUCCCUGGCAAGGUAUCAGCGUGCGCAAUUAAACGUAUUCCAUAGAUAUACAAAUUUAUUCUUGGAAGGGAGGAUGAGGUGGAAGGGCAGGAAAAUUAUAGCCAGAUUCAGGCGUGGAAACGAGACCAAAGCGAAGGAAUACUGGA